rfam:Ciona savignyi cont_44578, whole genome shotgun sequence.
CAUUUAUCAGACCAAAAACCGGGCCGCGUCUUCGGGCGCGUUCGCCUUGGUGACUCUGGAUAACUUUGCGGAUCGCACGGUCUAGCACCGGCGACGGAUCAUUCAAGUGUCUGCCCUAUCAACUUUCGUCGGUACGGUAUUUGCCUACCGAGGUUCUUACGGGUGACGGGGAAUCAGGGUUCGAUUCCGGAGAGGGAGCCUGAGAAACGGCUACCACAUCCAAGGAAGGCAGCAGGCGCGCAAAUUACCCAUUCCCGACGCGGGGAGGUAGUGACGAAAAAUAACAAUGCAGGACUCGUUCGAGGCCCUGUAAUUGGAAUGAGUACACUUUAAAAGCUUUAACGAGUAUCCAUUGGAGGGCAAGUCUGGUGCCAGCAGCCGCGGUAAUUCCAGCUCCAAAAGUAUAUAUUUAAGUUGUUGCGGUUAAAAAGCUCGUAGUUGGAUUUUGGGCGCAGGCGGCCGGUCCGUCGCAAGGCGUGUACUGGACGUCCUGGCCUUCCCUCCGGUUCUCCGCCGGUGCUCUUGACUGAGUGUCGGCGGCGGCCGGAACGUUUACUUUGAAAAAAUUAGAGUGUUCAAAGCAGGCUCUCGAGCCAGGAUAAUGGUGCAUGGAAUAAUGGAAUAGGACCUCGGUUCUAUUUUGUUGGUUUUCGGAGCGCGAGGUAAUGAUUAAGAGGGACAGACGGGGGCAUUCGUACUGUGCCGUUAGAGGUGAAAUUCUUGGAUCGGCGCAAGACGAACGACUGCGAAAGCAUUUGCCAAGAAUGUUUUCUUUAAUCAAGAGCGAAAGUCAGAGGUUCGAAGACGAUCAGAUACCGUCCUAGUUCUGACUAUAAACGAUGCCAACUAGCGAUCGGGGGGCGUUACAUUGACGACCCCUCCGGCAGCUUACGGGAAACCAAAGUCUUUGGGUUCCGGGGGAAGUAUGGUUGCAAAGCUGAAACUUAAAGGAAUUGACGGAAGGGCACCACCAGGAGUGGAGCCUGCGGCUUAAUUUGACUCAACACGGGAAAUCUCACCCGGCCCGGACACAGUGAGGAUUGACAGAUUGAGAGCUCUUUCUUGAUUCUGUGGGUGGUGGUGCAUGGCCGUUCUUAGUUGGUGGAGCGAUUUGUCUGGUUAAUUCCGAUAACGAACGAGACUCUGGCUUGCUAAAUAGUUACGCGACCAUCCCGGUCGGCGUUUAACUUCUUAG